UACGGAGGGUGCGAGCGUUGUCCGGAAUCAUUGGGCGUAAAGGGCGCGUAGGUGGCCCGGUCAGUUCGUGGUGAAAGCGCGGGGCUCAACUCCGCGUCGGCCAUGAAUACUGCUGGGCUUGAGCACUGUAGAGGCAGGCGGAAUUCCGGGUGUAGCGGUGGAAUGCGUAGAGAUCCGGAAGAACACCGGUGGCGAAGGCGGCCUGCUGGGCAGUGGCUGACACUGAGGCGCGACAGCGUGGGGAGCAAACAGG
rnacentral:rRNA from 1 species